rnacentral:rRNA from 1 species
ACGAACGCUGGCGGCGUGCCUAAUACAUGCAAGUAGAACGCUGAAGAGAGGAGCUUGCUCUUCUUGGAUGAGUUGCGAACGGGUGAGUAACGCGUAGGUAACCUGCCUUGUAGCGGGGGAUAACUAUUGGAAACGAUAGCUAAUACCACAUAACAAUGGGUGACUCAUGUCAUUUAUUUGAAAGGGGCAAAUGCUCCACUACAAGAUGGACCUGCGUUGUAUUAGCUAGUAGGUGAGGUAACGGCUCACCUAGGCGACGAUACAUAGCCGACCUGAGAGGGUGAUCGGCCACACUGGGACUGAGACACGGCCCAGACUCCUACGGGAGGCAGCAGUGGGGAAUAUUGCGCAAUGGGGGAAACCCUGACGCAGCAACGCCGCGUGAUUGAAGAAGGUCUUCGGAUUGUAAAAAUCUUUUAUCAAGGACGAAGAAGUGACGGUACUUGAUGAAUAAGCUCCGGCUAACUACGUGCCAGCAGCCGCGGUAAUACGUAGGUCCCGAGCGUUGUCCGGAUUUAUUGGGCGUAAAGCGAGCGCAGGCGGUUUGAUAAGUCUGAAGUUAAAGGCUGUGGCUCAACCAUAGUUCGCUUUGGAAACUGUCAAACUUGAGUGCAGAAGGGGAGAGUGGAAUUCCAUGUGUAGCGGUGAAAUGCGUAGAUAUAUGGAGGAACACCGGUGGCGAAAGCGGCUCUCUGGUCUGUAACUGACGCUGAGGCUCGAAAGCGUGGGGAGCGAACAGGAUUAGAUACCCUGGUAGUCCACGCCGUAAACGAUGAGUGCUAGGUGUUGGAUCCUUUCCGGGAUUCAGUGCCGCAGCUAACGCAUUAAGCACUCCGCCUGGGGAGUACGACCGCAAGGUUGAAACUCAAAGGAAUUGACGGGGGCCCGCACAAGCGGUGGAGCAUGUGGUUUAAUUCGAAGCAACGCGAAGAACCUUACCAGGUCUUGACAUCCCGAUGCUAUUUCUAGAGAUAGAAAGUUACUUCGGUACAUCGGUGACAGGUGGUGCAUGGUUGUCGUCAGCUCGUGUCGUGAGAUGUUGGGUUAAGUCCCGCAACGAGCGCAACCCCUAUUGUUAGUUGCCAUCAUUCAGUUGGGCACUCUAGCGAGACUGCCGGUAAUAAACCGGAGGAAGGUGGGGAUGACGUCAAAUCAUCAUGCCCCUUAUGACCUGGGCUACACACGUGCUACAAUGGUUGGUACAACGAGUUGCGAGUCGGUGACGGCAAGCUAAUCUCUUAAAGCCAAUCUCAGUUCGGAUUGUAGGCUGCAACUCGCCUACAUGAAGUCGGAAUCGCUAGUAAUCGCGGAUCAGCACGCCGCGGUGAAUACGUUCCCGGGCCUUGUACACACCGCCCGUCACACCACGAGAGUUUGUAACACCCGAAGUCGGUGAGGUAACCUUUUGGAGCCAGCCGCCUAAGGUGGGAUAGAUGAUUGGGGUG